rnacentral:rRNA from 1 species
UGGGGAAUAUUGCGCAAUGGGGGAAACCCUGACGCAGCGACGCCGCGUGUGGGAUGAAGGUCUUCGGAUUGUAAACCACUGUCGCGAGGGACGAAGCUCUGACGGUACCUCGAAAGGAAGCACCGGCUAACUCUGUGCCAGCAGCCGCGGUAAUACAGAGGGUGCGAGCGUUGUCCGGAAUCACUGGGCGUAAAGGGCGCGUAGGCGGCCCGGUAAGUAGGGGGUGAAAUCUCAUGGCUCAGCUGUGAGGCUGCCUUCUAGACUGCCAGGCUUGAGCACAGUAGAGGUGAGUGGAAUUCCCGGUGUAGCGGUGGAAUGCGUAGAGAUCGGGAAGAACAUCGGUGGCGAAGGCGGCUCGCUGGGCUGUUGCUGACGCUGAGGCGCGAAAGCGUGGGGAGCAAACAGGAUUAGAUACCCAAGUAGUCCCUGAGCGGGCUGGCAAGGCGCAU